AGAACCUGUCAGCUGUCUCGACUCCAGAAACAAAGACCAUGUGUCUCCAGGGGCCAGCAGGCUUUUUGUAUUACUGUAGUCCUCGCAGUGUGUGAAGCUGUGUUAUCCCACAGUGCUGUCAUGCUCCACUGGUGUCCUAGACUCCGGUACGCAGCAGUCAUAAUGUGCCUCUUUAAGCGUCCCCUGAAGAUUAAUGAGAGUGUAAGUUAAUUGUGACAGAUGAUUUGGAGGUGAUGAGACUCGGAUAUUUAAUUUGUGUUACGGAUAACAGGAUUUUACAGAAGAAUACCACAAUGCUGCGAUUAUGACUGCUCCUUCUAAACAUUGUUUUUGUGGAGAUUUGAUCUAAACAGAGCAGGAUGAUUGAUGGACUUCAUAUAUUUCAUCCCAUCCAGGAUGAACAUUUCUUUGGUUAUUUGUUCAGCUUCGCUUUGAGGCCACAGAAAUCUGCUUUUAAACUCCAUACAGGGAAAUCGUUAGAUAGAAAGAAGAAAUAUUGCUUCAAUAAAUAUUUAAUGAAAGAGGAAGUCCAAUUGAUUUAUUACACGGUAAGUAAUAUGUGAAUGAGUCCAUAGGACUCCCUUUGAGUAUUUAAUAUUCUUUGUUUACAGUGUUGGGUCACAUAUAAGGAAAUGCAUUAUUAUAGAUCCGGUUUUAUGCGCUCCUUUCACUGAUUCGCACAGAUUGUUUCCCAGGUGCAGACAAGCUAAAAUCUUACACAUGAAAUCCUAUUGUUGCUUAUAUUAAAACACUUGGCAGCAGACAUGCAUUUCGUCAAAUGACAGAUAUUUCACUGCUAUCGUCUGUUCUUUAUUGGUAAAAUAAACUCUUAUUGUGUUUGAGGUGCAGGAGCCUGGAUACAAUCACAGACAUCACCCUGAUUCACACAGCUUUUUGAGGGGUGACAAAGUGCGACAAGCUCCAAAGAGGAAAUGAUGAACACAGAGAGGCCUUUGAUGGAGUCAUUGACUGUGAGAGGUAUCUGGGAUGAAGAGUGUGGAUUCAGACUUGCAGCUCGGAGGGGAGGAGGGGAGAACAAAGAAGACCCAUCCUCGCCUGAGGACAAGGACGUUAUCUGCAAAAAGGGGGACAAAACCGACAAAUUCAUGUAUUGUAUUCACUGUUGCCUAAAGACGAAUUCCACCCAACGAUUUUCAAGCCUUAAAAAAAAAAAAAAAGCUAUGCUCACUUGACUGACACAGAGGAGACUCCAAUGCCUAAAAAUAAAAUCAGUGAGAUAAUACUCAUGAGGCAUGACAGCACCACAAGGCUUCUACAGGCAGUUUGUGCUUUUUUGCCUCAGAUUUUCACUGUUCAAACUUAAACCCAUGUGAAUCACUUAGCUUUUGACAUAAUGCAGAUGAUGCAAAUUGGAAUAUGUUAAAGAUUAAGCAUGAACGCUGCUGAGAAAAUGUAUGCAGCUCAAAAGAAGACAGGUAAUCUGUAACUGCCAUUAAAUGGGUGUACAGGGCAGGGUUUAAAUGUUACAUAUGAUGCAGAUGGUUUAUAAUGUUUGGUGGCACUUCUUUGAAUUGUGGAGCAUGGGAAUGUUCUGUGAAGGAACAUUCUGAUCCUGAGAUCAAUGUGAAUGACAAAACAAAGCACAUCAUGUACAUGGUUUUUGAAAGGAUCUAAAGAAAAUCCUUUAUGCAAUAUUUUAAAGAAGAAAAGCAGGAUUCUGUCUUUGAGAUUGCCUACUUCCUAUUUGUUCCUCUUUAUUUAAAUCAAGUGAUGUUUCCGUGUGUUCGAAUGUUACCAUUAGGAGCAGUCUGUAAACAGUUAUGGAGAAAUUUGAGCCUGUUUUCAGGCUUUAGAAGUUGAAGUACAUUUUCCUAAUCUCUGUUAAAGGCAGAAGGCAGAGCUCUGGGAGUACAGAAAAGAACUUUGCUUCUCAAAGUAAUGCAGACAUAGAUUCACAGGAUUAGACUAUGCUGUUAGAAUAAAUUCUUAGCUUGGGCGCAACCACAAAAUCCGCUGCAGUUCUGCUUUAUCUCUACAGGUUCAGUUGGGCUUAAUGGCCUCUUGUCCUCAACACAUCACGGAGAAUCACAUAAUUUUAGCUUUUCAUAGAGCCACAAACAGUCUGAAAAAAGUAAUUUGGGAACUCGUUGCGCCUGAAUUAACUUUGUACUGAAAUCUAGAUUAAAGAAGAGAAGGCCGUUUAGUACAACAAAAGUAGAGAAAAGUCUUUCAAACUGUUAUUUUUGUUCACUCAACACAAUGCAUUAACCAUCACAAAGAAAAUUGACAGUGUUAGCAUAUAGCUCACAGUAAAUACAUGUUUAUAGAAACUGCAGAUGUUUGAUUCACUCUAAGUUGGCAUCUGUAAGUCUCUGUAAUAAAGGAUGAUUAUACAGACAAUCAACCAAUGGCACAUAGAAAAAUAAGUGAUGAUUAAAAAAAAACAGUACUGGACAAACUCAGCAGAGCAAUAAUUGUAAACAUAUGGAAUUGAGCAUAUGAGGGAGGAACAGUAAUAUAAAAUCAUUCCAAAGUUUGCAUAAACAUGUGCCAGGUGUGCUCAGCGGCAGAGGUGGGUUAACAUCUGUCAGAUGAUUUUUUUGUUGGGGGAUUUGGCAGAAGAAUUAGGCUCUGAUUUGAAUUUGAAAUUUGGAUUUUGUCACAGAGCCUCCUUGAUUGUAUAUAACUUGUUUUUGCAUCCAAAUGUGAUGAGUAAUCUUCAGGGCACAUGCUGCGAAUAAAAAUGAAGUUUUUGAGACUGGGAUACAAAAUUGGAAAUUAAGCAUCACUGUCCACUGAGUUUGUGGGGGUUUUAGCCUAUACAGGCUGGCGUUAAUGUGAUCAUUUGAGAAAGGUUUGUUUUAUUCAUCAGCUAAUUGAUAAACAAUUUGCGUUCAGUUGGUUGUGCAACCAAUUUAAAACCUUUUAUCAGGUUUUUUAUGAAGGUAAUAAUGUGUCUAAAUGGACGAGCUUGUAUAUUUGAUGUGAGAACUUGUAAAACAGAAUAUGAAAACUUGUGCACCAAAAAUCUGCAUCUGUGUGUAAAAAUCUUCUGCAUUAAAGUUUGACAAACAAAAUCAGAACUUACAAAUUCCUAUUUGCGUGUGUUCAUUAAGAGUUACGUUUUUCUUUGUCUGGAAUAUCAAAUGUUGAGGUACUUCCACAUGUACAUCUCCAAGAUUGCACACAGGUCAUUCAUUACCUUAAAAACAGAAGACUGAGAUUAAUCUGACACAUUGAUACAAAGAACCCCUCAAAUUUCAUGUUUUGUG
ensembl:lncRNA